rnacentral:misc_RNA from 1 species
ACUCCUGAAAAUCACGGUGACGUUAACGCUGUUACCGCUGCUUUUUUUAUAACUACAGGCUUCACUGAUCUCUUCCAUCAGUGGUCCGUAUACCUAUAGCCAAACACAGCUUCCACGACCUGUCCUUACAGAACAGCCGGUUUAGCUGAGCGUGAUGAAACUGCUGCCCUUGUUGUUGCUGCUGCUGCUGGUCCUUGUGUGUCUGGACGCAUCUAACGGGAAGUGGCGUGGGAGGAGAAGUUGGAGGAGAAUUACUAGGAGGAUGAAUAGGUCCCGGUGGAUAACAAGUACGACGAAGUUACAUGGAAGAGAUCUUGAGAGCGAAGACAUCAAACAGGGAAGGGAUAUUGACCAAUCGCGGGACGAGGUGUUAUUCAAUGCGAGAGAUGUAAAAGUGUUGAUGACAUCGGCUGAUAACAACAUGAUGAAGGUGAUACUUGUAGCGGCUCUGCUGGUGUGUCUGCUGGCGAUACACACUGAUGCAAUCUACAGCUACCGCCACUACCGCAACUACCGGAUCAGGAUGUACUGGAGCAGAACUACAUCCUGUAUCUAUCGAGCAGCAAGGCGGCUAUCUCGCUGUUACGGCGUGAGAUCCAGGUUCCAAUACUAUCAUGGAAAGAGAGGAAUCGAGAAUGCAGAUGAGAAUGCAGAUGAGAAUACUGAGCAGCCAGAGAACGAUGACCUAAUCAGCGCCAGAGAUGUCAUGGAGACAGUCAUGGAUGAACAAGGAGGGAAUGCUGGAUCCAAAAGCGGGCUUCGUCAGCUAACUGAAGCCUAGAAACACAGGCGGCACCGCGUAAGUAGGAUUCUGUCAUAUACAUGGCGAUUCACCAAACAUUCGAGGAUCCAUUCCCGAUGGUGAAAGACACUAUGAUCUUCCCUCGUACAUCGUCUGAGUGUCUCUGAUUCAGUUAACAUAAUAAAUCCUUGAAGCAGA